rnacentral:rRNA from 1 species
AGUGUGACCGUCAAGAGAGGGGAGUAGUGCGGGCGAGUUGAAAUGAAUUCGCCAAUAUGUGGUCAUUUAGAGGAAGUAAAAGUUAUAACAAAGGUGUCCGAAAGUGAACCUGAAGAGGGGGUCAUUUAACGGAUCUGGGACGGGGGGGAGCGCGGCUUGAAUCUAGGUAACCGGAAGGCCCCGUGCAGCGAGUGAGCCCUCGCCGCUCAACCCUUGCAAACCCACUGUGCACAUUUGUCGGCGGAGGGCCCAGUCAAUGGGCCCCGAGCCGGACCCACAAACUCCAAGCAUUAAAAGAAUGACUAGCGGACGUUGUGCCGUCUAAACUUUAACAACUUUCAACAACGGAUCUCUUGGCUCUCGCAUCGAUGAAGAACGCAGCGAAAUGCGAUAAGUAAUGUGAAUUGCAGAAUUCAGUGAAUCAUCGAAUCUUUGAACGCACCUUGCGCUCCUUGGUAUUCCGAGGAGCAUGCCUGUUUGAGUGUCUUGAAGUCAUCAACCUCUCCCGUUUUGCGACGGGUCCAGGUUGGAGCCUGGGGGCUUGCGGCCGCGAGGCUGCUCCCCUCAAAUGCAUCGGUUGGGCCUGCGGGUCGGACUCGGUUGGGCGUUGUACCAUCCUCGCUCUUAUUCCGAGAUGUUCCCCUAUUAAUGUGCCCUCCCACGACCGCCCCGUCUGGAGUCGGCGGUCAAAGCUUUUGAAGCACUUUGAAAUCUGACCUCAAAUCAGGUAGGACUACCCGCUGAACUUAAGCAUAUCAAUAAGCGGAGAAAGGCGAAUCGCGCCGCUAAC